rnacentral:misc_RNA from 1 species
UUUCCGUUGGUGAACCAGCGGGGGGAUCAUUAUCGAGUUUAUAACUCCCAAACCUUAUGUGAACUUACCACUUGUUGCUUCGGCGCGCGCUUCGGUGCCGCCGAGGACACUUAAACUCUUUGUUUUUAUAAGCAUUUCUGAGUGGCCGAAAGGCAAAAUACAAAUGAAUCAAAACUUUCAACAACGGAUCUCUUGGUUCCG